UAAGGUAGAACAUGGCUCAGCUCAC
rnacentral:piRNA from 1 species